rnacentral:rRNA from 1 species
ACGGGAGGCGGCAGUGAGGAAUAUUGGUCAAUGGACGCAAGUCUGAACCAGCCAUGCCGCGUGCAGGAAUAAGGCCCUAUGGGUCGUAAACUGCUUUUGUGGUGGAGCAAUAAGUCGUACGUGUACGGCGAUGAGAGUACAUCACGAAUAAGCAUCGGCUAACUCCGUGCCAGCAGCCGCGGUAAUACGUAGGGAGCAAGCGUUAUCCGGAUUUACUGGGUGUAAAGGGCGUGUAGGCGGGACAUCAAGUCAGAUGUGAAAGCACGAGGCUCAACUUCGUGUCUGCAUUUGAAACUGACGUUCUUGAGUGUUGGAGAGGCUAACGGAACUCCUAGUGUAGCGGUGAAAUGCGUAGAUAUUAGGAAGAACACCAGUGGCGAAGGCGGUUAGCUGGACAAUAACUGACGCUGAGGCGCGAAAGCGUGGGUAGCAAACAGGAUUAGAUACCCUGGUA